GAACGUGCGUUCAUAUUUUGUAAUCUUGUAUAGUAAGGGAGAUCAUACCCCCAAUUGCGAUAGAAACGACGAACUGUUUAAUAGUCGUGAAUUUUUUUUCGUUUCCAUCUUUGAUGACGUGCACGUGGUCAACUGCAUUGAGCAGCGUUUUGCUGCUUACAAUGCUGAUCAUUGCGUAAUUCGCGUAGACCAAUGUCAUCCAGUUUUCUUGUGCGAGCCAACCAAUCGUAUUAUUGACCUCACAACCGGAUGUGAUUUGGGAAGAAUCGACGUCACCGACGGCUUCCUCUGGGAGUCAUGGAGCGAGGACUACAGCACCAAAUUUGUGGCAUGGGUCUAUGACCUCAAAUAGAUUCGUUAUCCAACGAAUACCCAUACCGAAUACGUGCAUCGACAAAGCCUUUACCACUGAAGAAUCAUAAUGAAUAAAAAAUAAAAAAAAACAGGAAGGAAAACAACAACGCUAAAAGCGUUUUUUGACAGGUUGGUUUUAUUUGUGGUCAAUUUUAUUAAAUGACGACAAAAAUAAUUUUGAACAUAAUUAAAAGAAUGAAAUUCGUCGA